UCCAGAGAACUUGGCAGAGAUGCCUUGGUGCCUUCGGGAGCUCUGAGACAGGUGCUGCAUGGCUGUCGUCAGCUCGUGUUGUGAAAUGUUGGGUUAAGUCCGCAACGAGCGCAACCCCUAUCCUUUGUUGCCAGCGAUUCGGUCGGGAACUCAAAGGAGACUGCCGGUGAUAAACCGGAGGAAGGUGGGGAUGACGUCAAGUCAUCAUGGCCCUUACGAGUAGGGCUACACACGUGCUACAAUGGCGUAUACAAAGAGAAGCGACCUCGCGAGAGCAAGCGGACCUCAUAAAGUACGUCGUAGUCCGGAUUGGAGUCUGCAACUCGACUCCAUGAAGUCGGAAUCGCUAGUAAUCGUAGAUCAGAAUGCUACGGUGAAUACGUUCCCGGGCCUUGUACACACCGCCCGUCACACCAUGGGAGUGGGUUGCAAAAGAGGUAGAUAGCUUAACCUUCGGGAGGGCGUUUACCACUUUGUGAUUCAUGACUGGGGUGAAGUCGUAACAAGGUAGGCGUAGCGAG
rnacentral:rRNA from 1 species